AUUGAACGCUGGCGGCAGGCCUAACACAUGCAAGUCGAACGAGUGGCGGACGGGUGAUUAAUGUCUGGGAAACUGCCCGAUGGAGGGGGAUAACUACUGGAAACGGUAGCUAAUACCGCAUACCAUCGGAUGUGCCCAGAUGGGAUUAGCUAGUAGGUGGGGUAACGGCUCACCUAGGCGACGCUCCCUAGCUGAUCUGAGAGGGUGACCAGCCACACUGGAACUGAGACACGGUCCAGACUCCUACGGGAGGCAGCAGUAGGGAAUAUUGGGCAAUGGGCGAAAGCCUGAUGCAGCCAUGCCGCGUGUGUGAAGAAGGCCUUCGGGUUGUAAAGCACUGUCAGCGGGGAAGCGUUACUCAAAGAAAAAGCAUCGGCUAACUCCGUGCCAGCAGCCGCGGUAAUAC
rnacentral:rRNA from 1 species